CCUGGCAAACAUAUGAAAUCGCCGCUCUUGGAAGAUGUUCAUCUGUUGGUCCCCGCAAAAUUGGAACGGAAGCAGGACAGAUAAUGCCCAGGUUUCCGGCCUGCAAUCGGCGGGAGAUCGGACUGGGUUUACCCAGUCUAAUACACUUCGCGCAUUUUCUGCCAUCUUCUCAGGGCCUUUUGCUGACAUGCAAUCCCAUUAGCCUACUGACUGUGGAAACGGUGUUGUUUUCUUCAGGCAUUUCAUUUGCAUCCGGUUGCACAGGGCUAAAGAGAAAAUGGAUUGUGGAUGCUUAUGAGAGUGAUAUUCAGAGAUGAAUAUGGAUGGGGAUGCUGAAACUUUUCUUUGGUGCCCAAUGAAAAAUACAAAGAUUAAGAGAACUAGUUUCCACAAUCACUGAUGGGUUGCAUGUCAGACUGUUCAGUUCACUUGCUUUUCUGCACCGGAGUGUGAGACAAGGAUGGACAGCACAUCCAAAAACAGCUAUGUUGGUGAUCUGGUCAUAAAUCCUGAUUGGUGGAGUGGUAGUUGUCCUGUGAAGUUCACCCCUCUUGACAAAGGAACUAUGGAUACCUGAUGGAUAGGCUUACCUGUCUGACCAAGGCCCUUCAUUGGUGAUUGCUCACUUGGUUUGCCAGCCAUAUUCAGCAAAAAUGUUGAUGGUUUUGAGAAUGAGGCAUUUGGGUAGCCUACUCUGUGUUCCAUUUUUAUGUAAACAUCCACAGAUCUUUGUAUCAUUCCCCAAAAGCUGCCAUCUUUGCUCAUAUAAUGACAUCCGGGUAUAUAAGGCAGCUUUGGGGCAUUUUUGUAAAUGUUAUAAAUUAACAAAAAUCAAAACACUUGCAAAAUAAUCCUUUGUUGUGGA